AAGAGCCACAGCCCGCAAUUGCACAAAAGUCACACUCGCGAACGUAGUCGCAUAACGAGACCCACGGCCAACGAUGGAGGAGAAUAAGAAAAUCAAAACUAGAAAGUGAAGAAAGGUAAGAAAUUAGGAAUCGACCGUGGAUAAGAGAUGGGCACAAGACUCAACAUUGUGGAGGGGAUUCGACAGAUGGAGUUGCGGUGGAGCAAGAUGAAUGAGAGUGGACAACUAAUGAUGACAGUAUGAAUCAUUGAUUCUACGACAGAAAUUGAGAGGAAUUAGUCUCUGUGGGUGAGCAAGA
rnacentral:misc_RNA from 1 species